rnacentral:rRNA from 1 species
GUCUAUGGCCAUACCACCCUGAAUGCGCUACUGAUCUUGAAAGCCGAGCAGGGUCGGGCAUGGUUAGUACUUGGAUCGAAGACCUCCUAGUAAUACCAGGUGCUGUAGGCU